rnacentral:misc_RNA from 1 species
CGUGCGUGUGUUUACACAGAUGUUGCGUUCGCGACCAUCGCGCAUCUUUUCCUUAUUUUUUUGUUCUCUUUCGUGUUUCAUCUCUUUUCUUCCUUUCUCACGCUUGCAACGUUUUUAGUGUCCGGCACGCAUCUGUGGCGGCCGGUGGCUCUCCUGAUAUUCGGUUCUGGCUUCCUCUUCCCUUUUUUCCUUGCCGCAUGGUACGUGGAAGCGUAGGAAUGCGCCGUAGCAGCACAACAGGACAGAGAAGAUGCAGCCAUACUGAGUGGUGCUGUAGUGAAACGUUUUGCGUCUGCAAUACGCGAGUGUCAUUUCUUUUUUUUUUUUCACUUGGUUCGUGAAACAGAGACAGAGAGUCCCCCCUUUCGCCUCUUCCAGCUGCCUUUACCCUUCAAUCAUCUACUGGAACGUAACUCGGCCUCCACCACCCCCUCACGGCUCGUGUGUGCGUGUGUCGUUAACAUCAACUGCGGCACCUUAAAGUCACCUUGCCUUCGCAAGACUCGCCCCUUCCCGGGUUGCUCGUCGGCAGCUGGCUACCCUGUGCAGCGUGCUAAAGGACUAGCAUACACCCGAAGAUGUGUACGCUCCCUCCUCUUCUUCCUUUAUUCAUGCCGCUGCUUUUUUUUUUCGCGCCGCGCUCAG